GAGAGGCAUAGCUCAGAGCGGCACUCAGCUCACCCGUGAGGUGAGGACACUCAGCACAACCCAGGAGAGCCCUGACACACCUGCUGGGACAGCUCACACCUGACACACCUGCUGGGACAGUGCACUCACACCUGACACACCUGCUGGGAGAGCACACACCUGACACACCUGCUGGGACAGUGCACUCACACCUGACACACACCUGCUGGGAGAGCACACACACCUGACACACCUGCUGGGACAGUGCACUCACACCUGACACACCUGCUGGGACAGUGCACUCACACCUGACACACCUGCUGGGACAGUGCACACACCUGACACACCUGCUGGGAGAGCACACACACCUGACACACCUGCUGGGACAGUGCACACACCUGACACACCUGCUGGGACAGCUCACACCUGACACACCUGCUGGGAGAGUACACACCUGACACACCUGCUGGGACAGCUCACACCUGACACACCUGCUGGGAGAGCACACACACCUGACACACCUGCUGGGACAGUGCACUCACACCUGACACACCUGCUGGGAGAGCACACACCUGACACACCUGCUGGGACAGCUCACACCUGACACACCUGCUGGGAGAGCACACACACCUGACACACCUGCUGGGAGAGCACACACACCUGACACACCUGCUGGGACAGUGCACACACCUGACACACCUGCUGGGACAGUGUACACACCUGACACACCUGCUGGGACAGUGCACUCACACCUGACACACCUGCUGGGAGAGCACACACCUGACACACCUGCUGGGACAGCUCACACCUGACACACCUGCUGGGACAGUGCACACACCUGACACACCUGCUGGGAGAGUACACACCUGACACACCUGCUGGGACAGUGCACACACCUGACACACCUGCUGGGACAGCAGACACACCUGACACACCUGCUGGGACACGGGGCUCCAGUGGAGAUCCAGUGGACACCAGGGCAGGAGAGCCUGCCCCACGGCCACAGACCCCACAAAGGCUGGUGAGGUCACAGCCCACACCCGUGACUGCCCAGCCCUGGGCCGUGGUUGCGGUGGAUAACUGACACAGUGCAGGGCACAGGAGCCAGUCAUGGGGAAGUAAGUGUAAGAUUCUUGCGGGGAGCUGGCCAGGAUAGAAUUUCCCUCUUCAGAGACGGCGAAGAGACAGAAUUCCAUCUGCCGGCUCACCCCCAAAUGCCCCCAACAGUCAGGGCUGGGCCAACUGGAAGCCAGGAGCGGGUAACUCUGAGUCUCCCAGCUGACGGCCGAUCGGUGAGAACUGCUACACGUGGUGGGAGUCACGUCAAACACGCACGAUGUCACAUCGCGUGAGCCUUCCUGGGAUCAGGCUCGAGAACACGUUCCACUCCCGGAAAGAAGGAAACCCCUCAGGAACACAGUAGCCGCGGCACAGAGGCUGGCCCAGGCCACCAGGCGGACGGGGCACUCGCAAACCCAGCGAUGACACCACGCUCCGAUACAGCGCUCGGGAUGAGCGUGUGGCUGGAAGCGUGUCAAAGGUGCAAAGAUGGAUGACGUCCGAGAGCCGGGAACCUGAGGGUGGAGGCUGUGAGCUGCAGGAAACAGUGCGGGUCCCGGGGGAGGGCGGUGCAGAGCGAGGCUCGUGGGUUCGCCCCUCAGCUCAGCACAGAAACAAAGCCGGAAACAAUCAGCAAGAGGCAGAAACUUGUAUGUGAUUGGCGGGCGACAGAGACCGCGUCUGUCUGAGAGGAGAGGGGGCGGACGCCGGCUCUGAGGGAGGGUCCGGGUGUCUAAGGCGCUGCUGUCUGUCCACUGGUCAUCCUGCUGCGGUGCCCACUGCACGGGGUUUCACAUACGCGUGUGGACUGGCUUGGGGCUCGUGGAGAUAGCGGGGUCUCCUGGAGACUCCCCAGGGGCUCGGCCCCCUCCUCCGCCAGCCCUGGGUGGACUGGAAGGCAGGGUUUAAACCCACAAGGUCCCACGAGAUAGCGGGGGUCUCCUGGGGCCGGUCCGACCCUCCCCAGGGCCCAGCCCCUUCCCCUGCCAGCUCUGGGUGAAAGUGCCCCCUCCCUGAGCUGGGGUUUAAAGCCCCCAGGUCACACAUGCGGCACAGAAGCUGUUAGUGGGGGGUGCCGGUGGGCGUGGAGACGGACUCUCCAGCCGCAGCCCACAGCCUGCUUGGGCGGGCCACUCCACCUGCGUCUGAGGCCCGCAGACCCCAGCCCCGCUGCCCGGCCUCAGGAAACAAACACCAUUUUGUCCUCUUUCUCCUAACCACCCCCCCCACCACCACCACCACAAAGAACACACAUGCUGUUCACUUCCAGUAAUGUUUCAAAAUUACAAGUUAAUACAUACAAAGAUACAAGUACGAUGCCGACUUCAGCCUGGCCCAGCCUGGGGUCGCUGUGGCCUUUGGGGAGUGAACCAGCAGGUGGAAAAUCUCUCUCUCUCUGUCUCUCUCUCUCUAUCUCUAUCUCUCUGUGUGUGUGUGUGUGUGUGUGUGUGUGUGUCUGUAACUCUGCUUUUCAAAUAGAUCAGUCUUGUAUCACGAAGUACGAGGUCAGUGCCUUUUUGGAAGUUUAAACACGCACCUAUUGUAGUCACAGGACGCAUGAGCUGACAAAACGCCAGAGACGACGCCCUCCAGGCAGCUCAGCGUGCAGGCGGCCACCCGGAGCACAGGGCAGGGAGGAACCAGAGGGACAGCUGCGGCCGCGCUCCGGGGUUCUCAGACCGGAGCGACACCGCUCUCACCGUAACCAGCCCCGUCGCUCACCCCUCGCGCCUCACCGCAGCCCAGGAGGCGCCGCUCGGGAGCCGAGGCCUCUGCCCGUCUGGGCCGUGCGGCUCCCUCAGCACACGGUGGUCACGUGCCCUGCCUGGCUGCCCCCAGGACGCCCCACGACACGGGUUCCCGACGCGGAGGGCGCUGGCCGGCACGCAGCCUGAGCGGCGGGGUUUUCUGCUUGUCACAGGUGGACCAGGCGGUGUUAGCAACCAUAAGGCGCUCAUGAUCCUAGGUUUCUAAAGCAGGGUGCACGACCCAGCGUCACAGGGGACUCCGCGUGGAGAACGUGUGAGACGUGGGGCAGACAGACGGCCCGAGGCACGCCUCGGAUCCCCGCUACCCACGGGGCCCAUGGUGUCCCCUCCAGGCGUGCCCAUGUCCCCGGGCGGCACGGGUACCCCCUCUGCUCCUGCCCCUCAAGUGCCAGCACCAGGAGGGACCCCAGGGCCACGGUCCGGCCUGAGCCUGUGCUGGCUGAGAUGGCCCGAGCGGGGGUCCCCGGGCACGGGGACACAGUGGGGACCCCGCUCCUCCGUGGGUGUUGGGAAGAAGUCUCGGACGAUGGAGCCAUCCCCAGGCCGCGUCCCCAGGACAUAACGAGCCCGCACAGGGUGCUUGUGCGAAGUCAGCCGCACAGGUGACCCAGUGUCAAGCCGCCAGCUAUGAGGAGCGGUCAGCAGUGGACACAGCUGUGAGGCAAGACGGCGUCUGGGAAAGAGCCCGAGGCCUGCAUCCCCUCCCCCACAACCCCUAGGCUGGGCCCCUCCCCCACAGUCCCCAGGCUGGGCCCCCUCCCCCACAGUCCCCUCCCUGAAUUUGCACUCAGGCUUUUCACACAGAAACUGCGGUCUUUGAGGAUGCUUCGAACACUCCUGGAAAAUGCAAUCGAAAGAUUUUUUUUAUGGUGAAAAAGGACGAAAUCUAUGCAUAUGAGGUCUGAAAAAUAUUUUUUUUUGACAGGCAGAGCGGACAGUGAGAGAGAGAG